CUAGGUUAAACUUUCAAGUUGCUAUUUCAGUGAUGACAGGUUGGCACUUUGCACACGAUUUUGCCAUUGGUUAUGCAGACUAAGAUAAAGAUGCACCAAAUAGAUAAAGCUUAACUUCGUUUCAAAAUUUACAUCUAGUAUUGAUUUUAAUAAUUAUUUUUAUUUCUUUUCAGCCCAAUGAAUGCCCUUUCCACAAAAAUAGACCGAAGAAAAGGAUGAGGAUCAGGUAGGUACAAAAGAUACAGAAGCCCUAGAUAAUGAAGCAGAUGGCCCUCAUGAUAAUA
rnacentral:misc_RNA from 1 species